UACGUAGGUGGCGAGCGUUGUCCGGAUUUACUGGGCGUAAAGAGCGCGCAGGCGGUCGUUCAAGUCGCGUGUGAAAGCCCCCGGCUCAACUGGGGAGGGUCACGCGAUACUGAUCGACUCGAAGGCAGGAGAGGGAAGUGGAAUUCCCGGUGUAGUGGUGAAAUGCGUAGAUAUCGGGAGGAACACCGGUGGCGAAGGCGGGUCUCUGGGCCGAUACUGACGCUGAGACGCGAAAGCGUGGGGAGCGAACAGG
rnacentral:rRNA from 1 species